GAAAUUUUGAAGCUCAAUCCUCUUGGCUAUGUGCCGGUGCUGGUGGAUGGUGACUUUGUUGUUUCUGACUCUUUUGCCAUCUUGAUGUAUUUGGAUGAAAAAUAUCCUCAGCAUCCAUUGUUGCCUCGUGAUCUUCACAAAAAAGCCAUUAAUUACCAGGCUGCAAAUAUUGUUUCUUCAAGCAUACAGCCUCUGCAGAAUCUAGCUGUGCUAAAAUUUAUAGAGGAAAAAGUCAGUCCAGACGAGAAACUUCCUUGGGUUCAGUAUCAUAUUAGAAAUGGCUUUGCAGCAUUGGAGAAGCUGCUAAAAGACCAUGCUGGAAGAUAUGCGACUGGAGAUGAAAUUUUCCUGGCGGAUUUGUUUCUAGCAGCACAGCUUCAUCCAGCAAUUAAAAGAUUUAAUGUUGACAUGACUCCAUUUCCUCUGCUAUCAAGGCUGCAUGAGGCAUACAAUGAGCUGCCAGCAUUCCAGAAUGGUAUGCCAGAAAACCAGCCAGAUACCCCUUCAUCCAGCACUACUUAAGUCAACAGGAAGUAAAGUUUCAGGUCAAUCUUCCCAAACCAAAACUUGCUAACAUACAGCACAAAGUACAACUUGGUGGAGCCUGAAAAUAAAGCUAUCCAGCAUAUAUUGUACAAUGGGGUCAAUUUGAAGGUUGGCCUGUUUCUAUCAUAUAAUUCUGUGAUGGAUGAAUGAUAAUAAUUACAAAGAACAUGAACUGUUAUAAGUUAAUGCCGAGGACAUUGAGUCUCAAUGGUAUUGUUAUUCUUACCCAUUGUGCUCCCUAUAAUAAUGAGUUU
rnacentral:misc_RNA from 1 species